rnacentral:rRNA from 1 species
UCAACGGAGAGUUUGAUCCUGGCUCAGGAUGAACGCUGGCGGCGUGCUUAACACAUGCAAGUCGAACGAUGAUGCCCACUUGUGGGUGGAUUAGUGGCGAACGGGUGAGUAACACGUGAGUAACCUGCCCUUAACUCUGGGAUAAGCCUGGGAAACUGGGUCUAAUACCGGAUAUGACUCCUCAUCGCAUGGUGGGGGGUGGAAAGCUUUAUUGUGGUUUUGGAUGGACUCGCGGCCUAUCAGCUUGUUGGUGAGGUAAUGGCUCACCAAGGCGACGACGGGUAGCCGGCCUGAGAGGGUGACCGGCCACACUGGGACUGAGACACGGCCCAGACUCC